rnacentral:lncRNA from 1 species
UUGCCUUUCGCAAACACCUUGUUUACCUUCACGGAAUCCUGCGGGAAUACCUCGAUCACUUGUUACAUGCCAAAACAUGAUAGGGGAGGCGAGGAAAGAAAAGAAAGAAGAAAAGAACGAAAAAGAGAUGAAAACAGAAAAUGAAAAAAGAAAGAAUAAGAAAUAAGAGAAAGAGGAGUAGAGCUAAGAGAAAGACGAAAAAUAAUCAAUCAUUUUGCAUUAGCAUAUUGCAUACGACAUGC